UACGUAGGUGGCAAGCGUUAUCCGGAAUUAUUGGGCGUAAAGCGCGCGCAGGUGGUUUCUUAAGUCUGAUGUGAAAGCCCACGGCUCAACCGUGGAGGGUCAUUGGAAACUGGGAGACUUGAGUGCAGAAGAGGAAAGUGGAAUUCCAUGUGUAGCGGUGAAAUGCGUAGAGAUAUGGAGGAACACCAGUGGCGAAGGCGGCGAGCUGGCCUGUACCUGACGCUGAGGCGCGACAGCGUGGGGAGCAAACAGG
rnacentral:rRNA from 1 species